rnacentral:rRNA from 1 species
CGAACGGGUGAGUAACGCGUGAGGAACCUGCCUCAAAGAGGGGGACAACAGUUGGAAACGACUGCUAAUACCGCAUAAGCCCACGGCUCGGCAUCGAGCAGAGGGAAAAGGAGCAAUCCGCUUUGAGAUGGCCUCGCGUCCGAUUAGCUAGUUGGUGAGGUAACGGCCCACCAAGGCGACGAUGGAUAGGGGUUCUGAGAGGAAGGUCCCCCACAUUGGAACUGAGACACGGUCCAA